AACGAACGCUGGCGGCAUGCCUAACACAUGCAGGUCGAACGAGACCUUCGGGUCUAGUGGCGCACGGGUGCGUAACGCGUGGGAACCUGCCCUUAGGUUCGGAAUAACUCCCCGAAAGGGGUGCUAAUACCGGAUAAUGUCUUCGGACCAAAGAUUUAUCGCCUUUGGAUGGGCCCGCGUUGGAUUAGCUAGUUGGUAGGGUAAAAGCCUACCAAGGCGACGAUCCAUAGCUGGUCUGAGAGGAUGAUCAGCCACACUGGGACUGAGACACGGCCCAGACUCCUACGGGAGGCAGCAGUGGGGAAUAUUGGACAAUGGGCGAAAGCCUGAUCCAGCAAUGCCGCGUGAGUGAUGAAGGCCUUAGGGUUGUAAAGCUCUUUUACCCGGGAUGAUAAUGACAGUACCGGGAGAAUAAGCUCCUGCUAACUCCGUG
rnacentral:rRNA from 1 species